UUUACUAAAGAAUAAUUCUUUACCUAAGAAGAGACAAAUACAAGCACAUUCAUCUGUUGUCUGUAAUUCUGGCUGCUUAUUAUGGAUCCAGAAGCAUUUGGUGCAGAAAACCGGACCCUCCUCCUCCACACAGUUACUAUUUGUUUUAGUCGAUGAAAAUGGCAACAGCAUCUUCCAUUUUAUUCGUCAGAGCUUCUAAGGCAAAAGUAAACAGCAGUUUAAUUGGAUUCAGUUAUUCCAUGAAACAUCCUUUAUAGGCCCGUUGCCUUAUGGGCUUUGGAGAGUACUUACAAGUGGACAGUUGCUGGAGAGAUGAUUUGCAAAGCGAAAAACAAGUUUCCGUUUUUACUCACUUGAAAAUGAUCUAACAACCGCAUUCUGGGCCGUCUAAAUUCAGAGAGCUAAGAAGAUAUUUCAUGCCACAAGGAACUGGAGACUAUACAGAAGAGCAUUUAAAAGGCAAAAAGGAGCUCUUAGACAUUAAAAUUCUGAUUACAGACACAAAAAAUUCACAAGGAGAAUUUCAAGACAAGGAAGUCUUAAGAAAGUUGAAAAAGAGGACAAAGAAAUGGAAAAUAGGGAAGAAAAAAAUAGUGAGAAUUAGUCCAGGACAAUCAACAUUUGAAUAAAAGAGAGACCUGGAUAAAAUAGAAGGCAUCAUCAAAGAAAUAAUUCAAGGAAAAAUUUACAGACCCAAAGAACGUGAAUUUCCAGAUUAUAGAUGCCACAGAGAUGGAAAGUAUCUUUUGAAUCAAUAUUAACUCUGCAAAGUGCCUGAUGGGUGAUGACUAGAAGGUGAUCUACCACUACUGACUCAGUUAAAUUACAUAUUUUCUAAUCUUUCAACCUGA